rnacentral:rRNA from 1 species
GACGAACGCUGGCGGCGUGCUUAACACAUGCAAGUCGAACGGAAAGGCCCUGCUUUUGUGGGGUGCUCGAGUGGCGAACGGGUGAGUAACACGUGAGUAACCUGCCCUUGACUUUGGGAUAACUUCAGGAAACUGGGGCUAAUACCGGAUAGGAGCUCCUGCUGCAUGUGGGGGGUUGGAAAGAUUCGGCGGUUGGGGAUGGACUCGCGGCUUAUCAGCUUGUUGGUGGGGUAGUUGCUUACCAAGGCUUUGACGGGUAGCCGGCCUGAGAGGGUGACCGGCCACACUGGAACUGAGACGCGGUCCAGGAUCAUAAGGGAGGGAGCAGGAGGGGAUCCUCCGCAAGGGGCGAAAGCCUGACGGAGCAACGCCGCGUGAGGGAUGAAGGUCUUCGGAUCGUAAAACUGUGUUAUGAGGGAAGAACAAAUGUGGAAGUAAAUAUGCACGUCUUGACGGUACCUAAUCAGAAAGCCACGGCUAACUACGUG